rnacentral:lncRNA from 1 species
AUAGAAGUCUGUGUACCAAGUUUCUGCUACUUAACUUUGUUAUGUUCCUAUGAGAAUGGUACAUUGAGAUAUUGGAGGAAUUACCACACAUUUGCAAAGCGGGCAUGGCUACUAAGCUCCUAUCUUCCCAGAGUCCACCACCCCUUACUUUCAACCUGGAAAAGUAGAUUAUCGAGGGGCUUCACCAAGCGUUGGCUCCUCGCCUUCCGGCGGUUCAUCGGGCGAAGUGAAUAGUCGUCCACGCGGCCGGCUAGGCGGACGACCGGCAGGCUGGCCGCAUCCCGGCCACGAAGGCCAAAGCUACUUCUGCUACUUCCACGACGCAGUUGAGGAGGAGGUACACGAUUUUGGCGAGGAGAGCUACGCGCUCAUAAAGGCCAACGUCGUCGACCUAAAGCCGCUCCAGGUCGUCCGCCUAGACAUAUCCCAUACUCACAUGAGCAAGAAAACAAGUUAAAUAGUUCUUUAGCGGCUUGCUCAAGAUAUAUCCCAUACUCACAGUUUAUUUAUUUAUUUCCUGAAAAGAGUAUAUAUAGUCCCACUGUCUUAGGGUCCGAAAGUGAAUGUCAUAUGUUUCCAGAUUUGCUUUUCUCUAUAUCCAUCUGCAGUCUAUCUAAAAUAAUGGAGGAAAACAAAUAUACAUGUAUUCUCUCCGGCCUAAUCUAUCUCCCAAUGUUUGUCCUCGGUGGUACGAGUCCAUCGGACCCAACACGGCCUUUGUCGAGCCAGAGCUCAUGUCGACGUCACCAUUCGAUGCCACCAUCCUCACUCCGGCAUCCUGUUUCGCAAUAGUGUUAAAGAGUCUACUUCACUCCGUCUAGAAAAUCAUAGGCCACACAUAAGAGCAAGAAUUGUUACAUACAUGAAUACGAUAUAUAACUACAUACAUGCAUGUAUGCCAGGCAUCAAUGGUCACACGUGAUGCAAAAAGAAAAUACUCCACACAAUUAUGUUAUGUGAUUGAGAUGACACACGUUAGAUGUCAUGCAAACGAACUGAAUAUGUAAAUGACUAUUAGUAUGAGCAAUUUAUGUUUCUGUAUGUUCCUUCCACCAAGUAUCUUCGAGUAGAAACUACCUAAGUAAGUUUUAGGACUCAACCAAAUUGAAUCUACGGUUCUUGCUUGACCCCAACUGUAGAAUUUUGAUCUUCAGGUUAUUUUUUAUAGGAUAAUAUGGGGCUUAAUUUGUAUGGUGUCU